AUAACUCCGGGAAACCGGGGCUAAUACCGGAUGGUUGUUUGAACCGCAUGGUUCAAACAUAAAAGGUGGCUUCGGCUACCACUUACAGAUGGACCCGCGGCGCAUUAGCUAGUUGGUGAGGUAACGGCUCACCAAGGCAACGAUGCGUAGCCGACCUGAGAGGGUGAUCGGCCACACUGGGACUGAGACACGGCCCAGACUCCUACGGGAGGCAGCAGUAGGGAAUCUUCCGCAAUGGACGAAAGUCUGACGGAGCAACGCCGCGUGAGUGAUGAAGGUUUUCGGAUCGUAAAGCUCUGUUGUUAGGGAAGAACAAGUACCGUUCGAAUAGGGCGGUACCUUGACGGUACCUAACCAGAAAGCCACGGCUAACUACGUGCCAGCAGCCGCGGUAAUACGUAGGUGGCAAGCGUUGUCCGGAAUUAUUGGGCGUAAAGGGCUCGCAGGCGGUUUCUUAAGUCUGAUGUGAAAGCCCCCGGCUCAACCGGGGAGGGUCAUUGGAAACUGGGGAACUUGAGUGCAGAAGAGGAGAGUGGAAUUCCACGUGUAGCGGUGAAAUGCGUAGAGAUGUGGAGGAACACCAGUGGCGAAGGCGACUCUCUGGUCUGUAACUGACGCUGA
rnacentral:rRNA from 1 species